rnacentral:tRNA from 1 species
UGGGGUGUGGCUCAACAGUAGAGUGCUCACCUAGCACAUGUGAGGCCCUGGGUUCGAUCCUCAGCACCACAU